AAAUUAAGCAAUAAAAAAACAUGAAAGGUUGAUAUUUGGUUAUAUUUAAACAAUUAAAAAAUUGGUGGGCAAAUAAUAUGUGUAAAAGAAAUUCAAAGGUGAAUAUCCAUUUUUUCUGCAUUUUGAAGCAUUUUUUGCUUCCAAAUUACUUCCCUUGGAUUACUCUCUAGCGUUUGGAGGUACAAUAUGUAGGCACUUGUAGUGGUAAAUAAAUAGUUUGGUGAGAAAACUUAUCAAAGCGGGUCCGGGGUGAGGAUUGGCAGUGUGGAAGAAGGAAAAAGGGCCAAGAUAUAAUACAUAAGAAGACAAGAGGAUUCACCAAAGAGGAUGAAAAGGAAAAGGAACAGGAACAUAUACACAUGUAAAUCAUGGCUAUCACAGAAUUCAAAUGAAACCUUGAAGUUAAUUUUGGAAAAGACAAUUUCAGGAAUUGGGACAGCUUAUAGAUGCAUUUCUCUUAAAGGUAGAAAAAAAUCAUCUUAAAUAUAUGAGUGGAGAUGCAACAUCAUGAAGUUCAAAGUAAAGUGCAAAGCUGAAUAUCAUAAAAUCUCCAAACAACGGUGAAGCCUUAAAAGUUGGAGAUAUGGCA